rnacentral:lncRNA from 1 species
AUAAAUCCUUGGAAAAAAAAAAUGAGUUAAUUGUAUACAUAUUCCUACAAACAUGGUGAAUUGCAGAUAUAUUCCUGCAAAGCUCAACUGUCAUAAGUUAUCUCUGCAAAAGUUCUAAUGUAUUCAGAUAUGUCCCUAUCGUUAGGGUCCGUUAGAGAAAUUUUAUUAACCACAGUUAAAAUACUUAACCAUGAUUAAUUAAUAAUAUGAAUUGACAAUUUUGCUCUUCUUCUUCUUCCUCUUCCUCUUCCUCUUCCUCUUCCUCUCGUGCUUCUCCUUCUUCCUCUUCUCCAUAACCUAAAUAACUAAAGAUAUU